rnacentral:rRNA from 1 species
AUUGAACGCUAGCGGCAGGCCUAACACAUGCAAGUCGAGCGGUAGCACAGAGAGCUUGCUCUUGGGUGACGAGCGGCGGACGGGUGAGUAAUGUCUGGGAAACUGCCUGAUGGAGGGGGAUAACUACUGGAAACGGUAGCUAAUACCGCAUAACGUCGCAAGACCAAAGAGGGGGACCUUCGGGCCUCUUGCCAUCAGAUGUGCCCAGAUGGGAUUAGCUAGUAGGUGGGGUAACGGCUCACCUAGGCGACGAUCCCUAGCUGGUCUGAGAGGAGGACCAGCCACACUGGAACUGAGACACGGUCCAGACUCCUACGGGAGGCAGCAGUGGGGAAUAUUGAACAAUGGGCGCAAGCCUGAUGCAGCCAUGCCGCGUGUAUGAAGAAGGCCUUCGCGUUGUAAAGUACUUUCAGCGGGGAGGAAGGUGUUGAGGUUAAUAACCUCAGCAAUUGACGUUACCCGCGGAAGAAGCACCGGCUAACUCCGUGCCAGCCGCCGCGGUAA